AUACGGAGGGUCCAAGCGUUAUCCGGAAUCAUUGGGUUUAAAGGGUUCGUAGGCGGGUCAAUAAGUCAGAGGUGAAAUCUUGCCGCUUAACUGUAAAAUUGCCUUUGAUACUGUUGACCUUGAAUUACUGUGAAGUGGUUAGAAUAUGUAGUGUAGCGGUGAAAUGCUUAGAGAUUACAUAGAAUACCGAUUGCGAAGGCAGAUCACUAACAGUAUAUUGACGCUGAUGAACGAAAGCGUGGGUAGCGAACGGGAUUAGAAACCCUAGUAGUCC
rnacentral:rRNA from 1 species